GGACUACCAGGGUUUCUAAUCCUGUUUGAUACCCACGCUUUCGCACCUCAGCGUCAGUAUUGUGCCAGAUAGCCGCCUUCGCCACUGAUGUUCCUCCUGAUCUCUACGGAUUUCACCCCUACACCAGGAAUUCCGCUAUCCUCUCACACACUCAAGCUCAUCAGUAUCAAAGGCAAUUCCACGGGUGAGCCGUGGGAUUUCACCCCUGACUUAAUAAGCCGCCUACGUGCGCUUUACGCCCAGUAAUUCCGAUUAACGCUCGCACCCUCCGUAUUACCGCGGCUGCUGGCAC
rnacentral:rRNA from 1 species